rnacentral:rRNA from 1 species
GGGUUGUGAGGUUAAGCGACUAAGCGUACACGGUGGAUGCCCUGGCAGUCAGAGGCGAUGAAGGACGUGCUAAUCUGCGAAAAGCGUCGGUAAGGUGAUAUGAACCGUUACAGCCGGCGAUGUCCGAAUGGGGAAACCCAGUGCAAUUCGUUGCACUAUCGUUAACUGAAUACAUAGGUUAACGAGGCGAACCGGGGGAACUGAAACAUCUAAGUACCCCGAGGAAAAGAAAUCAACCGAGAUUCCCCCAGUAGCGGCGAGCGAACGGGGAGCAGCCCAGAGUCUGAAUCAGCUUGUGUGUUAGUGGAACGGUCUGGAAAGUCCGACGGUACAGGGUGAUAGUCCCGUACACCAAAAUGCACAGGCUGUGAACUCGAAGAGUAGGGCGGGACACGUGGUAUCCUGUCUGAAUAUGGGGGGACCAUCCUCCAAGGCUAAAUACUCCUGACUGACCGAUAGUGAACCAGUACCGUGAGGGAAAGGCGAAAAGAACCCCGGCGAGGGGAGUGAAAAAGAACCUGAAACCGUGUACGUACAAGCAGUGGGAGCACCUUCGGGUGUGACUGCGUACCUUUUGUAUAAUGGGUCAGCGACUUAUAUUCUGUAGCAAGGUUAACCGUAUAGGGGAGCCGCAGGGAAACCGAGUCUUAACUGGGCGUUAAGUUGCAGGGUAUAGACCCGAAACCCGGUGAUCUAGCCAUGGGCAGGUUGAAGGUUGGGUAACACUAACUGGAGGACCGAACCGACUAAUGUUGAAAAAUUAGCGGAUGACUUGUGGCUGGGGGUGAAAGGCCAAUCAAACCGGGAGAUAGCUGGUUCUCCCCGAAAGCUAUUUAGGUAGCGCCUCGUGAAUUCAUCUUCGGGGGUAGAGCACUGUUUCGGCUAGGGGGUCAUCCCGACUUACCAACCCGAUGCAAACUACGAAUACCGAAGAAUGUUAUCACGGGAGACACACGGCGGGUGCUAACGUCCGUCGUGAAGAGGGAAACAACCCAGACCGCCAGCUAAGGUCCCAAAGUCAUGGUUAAGUGGGAAACGAUGUGGGAAGGCACAGACAGCCAGGAUGUUGGCUUAGAAGCAGCCAUCAUUUAAAGAAAGCGUAAUAGCUCACUGGUCGAGUCGGCCUGCGCGGAAGAUGUAACGGGGCUAAACCAUGCACCGAAGCUGCGGCAGCGACACUAUGUGUUGUUGGGUAGGGGAGCGUUCUGUAAGCCUGCGAAGGUGACCUGUGAGGGUUGCUGGAGGUAUCAGAAGUGCGAAUGCUGACAUAAGUAACGAUAAAGCGGGUGAAAAGCCCGCUCGCCGGAAGACCAAGGGUUCCUGUCCAACGUUAAUCGGGGCAGGGUGAGUCGACCCCUAAGGCGAGGCCGAAAGGCGUAGUCGAUGGGAAACAGGUUAAUAUUCCUGUACUUGGUGUUACUGCGAAGGGGGGACGGAGAAGGCUAUGUUAGCCGGGCGACGGUUGUCCCGGUUUAAGCAUGUAGGCUGGUUAUCCAGGCAAAUCCGGAUAAUCAAGGCUGAGGUGUGAUGACGAGGCACUACGGUGCUGAAGUAACAAAUGCCCUGCUUCCAGGAAAAGCCUCUAAGCAUCAGGUAACAUCAAAUCGUACCCCAAACCGACACAGGUGGUCAGGUAGAGAAUACCAAGGCGCUUGAGAGAACUCGGGUGAAGGAACUAGGCAAAAUGGUGCCGUAACUUCGGGAGAAGGCACGCUGGUGUGUAGGUGAAGUCCCUGCGGAUGGAGCUGAGACCAGUCGAAGAUACCAGCUGGCUGCAACUGUUUAUUAAAAACACAGCACUGUGCAAACACGAAAGUGGACGUAUACGGUGUGACGCCUGCCCGGUGCCGGAAGGUUAAUUGAUGGGGUUAUCCGUAAGGAGAAGCUCUUGAUCGAAGCCCCGGUAAACGGCGGCCGUAACUAUAACGGUCCUAAGGUAGCGAAAUUCCUUGUCGGGUAAGUUCCGACCUGCACGAAUGGCGUAAUGAUGGCCAGGCUGUCUCCACCCGAGACUCAGUGAAAUUGAACUCGCUGUGAAGAUGCAGUGUACCCGCGGCAAGACGGAAAGACCCCGUGAACCUUUACUAUAGCUUGACACUGAACAUUGAGCCUUGAUGUGUAGGAUAGGUGGGAGGCUUUGAAGCGUGGACGCCAGUCUGCGUGGAGCCAACCUUGAAAUACCACCCUUUAAUGUUUGAUGUUCUAACGUUGGCCCCUGACCGGGGUUGCGGACAGUGUCUGGUGGGUAGUUUGACUGGCACGGUCUCCUCACCAAGCGUAACGGCGGAGCCCGAAGGUUCGCUACUCCCAGUCGGACAUAAGCAGGUUAGUGCAAUGGCGUAAGCUAGCUUGACUGCGAGCGUGACGGGUCGAGCAGGUGCGAAAUCAGCUCAUAGUGAUCCGGUGUUUCUGAUUGGACGGGCCAUCACUCAACGGAUAAGAGGUACUCAGGAGAUAGCAGGCUGAUACCGCCCUAGAGUUCAUACCGACGGCGGUGUUUGGCACCUCGAGGUCGGCUCAUCACAUCCUGGGGCUGAAGUAGGUCCCAAGGGUAUGGCUGUUCGCCAUUUAAAGUGGUACGCGAGCUGGGUUUAGAACGUCGUGAGACAGUUCGGUCCCUAUCUGCCGUGGGCGCUGGAGAAUUGAGGGGGGCUGCUCCUAGUACGAGAGGACCGGAGUGGACGCAUCACUGGUGUUCGGGUUGUCAUGCCAAUGGCACUGCCCGGUAGCUAAAUGCGGAAGAGAUAAGUGCUGAAAGCAUCUAAGCACGAAACUUGCCCCGAGAUGAGUUCUCCCUGAGACUUUAAGUCUCCUGAAGGAACGUUAAAGACGAUGACGUUGAUAGGCCGGGUGUGUAAGCGCAGCGAUGCGUUGAGCUAACCGGUACUAAUGAACCGUGAGGCUUAACCUUACAACGCCGAAG